CGAAAACUCAUCUCGAAAACUCCAAAAUUCAUCUCCGCCUCUUUUUUCCACUCACCGCCAUCUUUGCCCCCUUCCUUCUUGAUUCAUCAUCCUCGAAUCGUGGUCAAAAUCCCAUCUAAAAAGCUAUCACCAAUCACGCCUCGCCUUGAAAACCUUCGCUACCGCGCGAAGUGAGCAGUGAUACCGCAAGAUCAAUACCCUGGUCACCAAUCUGAUGGAGGAGGGAUGGCUCUUUGCGGAGACUACCAAGGGGUUCCUCGGCUCGUUAGGGCUUAGAUGGUCGAUCGGCGACGGUGCAGAAGGUCAAGAUCAGAUUUUACUUCACGACGUGGUGGAUGCUGAACGUGGUGUUCAACAUCUACAACAAGAAGGUCCUCAACAUCUUCCCCUACCCUUGGCUGACCUCCAUGUUCUCCCUCGCUACCGGCUCCCUCAUAAUGCCUGUCUUCUGGGCUGCUAGGGUUACCGAGCCUCCCAAGACUGACUUGGGUUUUUAGAAAUCCAUAACUCCGUUGUUGUUGAAGGCCCCAAGGUUUGGUCUGCUGGUUGGUAGAAGGUCAUCUCAGAGAUUGGUCCUCAAUUUGUUUGGUUAGAGAACUACUUCAACACAAGAGCUCGCUUAAGUUCCAACCAGAUUGGGUGACCCUUCUUAAUGGAACUCAAGAAGGUGCUUUUCAAUAGGAGUCAGGUUGUCAAUGGUGGCUCCUAAUUAGUCCAUGCAAAAUAUUUGUGGAUAUGUAUAUAUAGCAGCAUGAAUGUGAGGAAUAAAUAGAAUUUUGAUCCUGCCGACUCAUAUAUGAAACUGGUAGAUGAGUUACCGAUAAGAAUGCUAAGAUAUAUUAUUGUUCAAAUUCACAAGAGGAUCUAGACCACAUUGAUAGGCUAAUUGAAAAAGCAGAAGCAAGAUUCGAGAAGUUUCGACACCGAGACCCAUACAUUGCAGUGCUGCAGGAACCUCAAGCACAUCGAGAAGCAACUCUCCACUGAAUUCGGUGACCCCUAACACCUUCAGCCCAACAACCAACAUAAUAAAUGGAGCUUAAUAGGAUUUUUCUUUUAUAUAGACAACAUGUAUAUAAAGUUUGUGGAUUAUGCAUACAUAUUUUCUAUUACACAUUUCUAGUUCAAUAGUAAGAAGAUUGAUUAGUUGUACGUUCA